rnacentral:piRNA from 1 species
UAAAGGAUUAAUAAUAAAAUG